AACGAACGCUGGCGGCAUGCCUAACACAUGCAAGUCGAACGAGACCUUCGGGUCUAGUGGCGCACGGGUGCGUAACGCGUGGGAACCUGCCCUUAGGUUCGGAAUAACUCCCCGAAAGGGGUGCUAAUACCGGAUAAUGUCUUCGGACCAAAGAUUUAUCGCCUUUGGAUGGGCCCGCGUUGGAUUAGCUAGUUGGUAGGGUAAAAGCCUACCAAGGCGACGAUCCAUAGCUGGUCUGAGAGGAUGAUCAGCCACACUGGGACUGAGACACGGCCCAGACUCCUACGGGAAGCAGCAGUGGGGAAUAUUGGGCAAUGGGCGAAAGCCUGAUCCAGCAAUGCCGCGUGAGUGAUGAAGGCCUUAGGGUUGUAAAGCUCUUUUACCCGGGAUGAUAAUGACAGUACCGGGAGAAUAAGCUCCGGCUAACUCCGUG
rnacentral:rRNA from 1 species